CACAUCAAACAAUGAUCAAUGUUAAGGCCUCAGUGAUCAAAUAAGCAGUGACAAUGUUUAUAUAUAUAUAUAUAUAAACAUUGUCACUGCUUAUUUGAUCUUAAUAAAGGCCUUAACAUUGAUCAUUGUUUGAUGUG